CAAAACUCACUUUCCAUUUUCGGCUUUCACUAUUCAUAUUUUCUUCUUUUUCCAUUAUUUUCUUCUUACGUUUAGAACCAGAAUAUUUUCUCACGGAACCACCGUGCCGGAACUCUCCUCCGGUCGGCAUCUUCUUCUCCUUCUAAGGUGAGUCUCUUAUAAUUUCAUUACUUUAUUUUCAUUUUUCAAAACUAAAAUUCCUUAAUCAAACAAAGCAUCCAUUAUUAUUUGGUAAUUAAAAACAUCAAAUCUCCAUUUUUUGGAAUUAGAAAAAGCAUCCAUUGUUAUUUGUUUUCUUCAUCAAAUGUUGCACAGAUAUUUUGAACGUUUAUGUGUUUUAAUAAUAUAUUGCUCCUUCUUAAGGUCUCAGAUUUGAUUCUCUCUAAUGCCAAUUUAGGUGGGCUAUUGACGAAAUCACCAAUUCCCCCCUGCUAACUUGUAUUGAAUUUAUCGUCAAUUUAGUCUAUGAAUUAUAUCACUUAUUAGCAAAUAAUUAGUCCAUGAAUUAAUAUCGCUUAUUCUCAAACAAGUUAACAGAAAAACCAAGUUGCUAGUCAUUCAAAAUUGGAUUUUUUUUUUUUGGUCUAUUAACAAGUUUCAGGGUGUAAAUGCUCAACUGCAAUUUUGGGGGUGAGUUAUUGAUUUACUCAAAUAGUAUAUUUCUAUAUACUUGUUCUUAAAUUGUCACAAGCUGCAUAUUACCAAUUUUUAUGUCUCAAGUUUCAACUAUGAUGGUAUAUGUUAUCUUCAUGAGUAUUCUUGUUUGGACUGCUGAUCACCCUCCCCUAUCCCUGCAGAUUAAUUCUUCGUGCAGUUCAGUCGCGGUUGUAAUGCGAAAUUAAUCGGUAAGCUUAAGGUGGAUGAAGGUAUGUAUAUUAGGUGUGUAGAGUUUGGAUAGAUUCUUUUUUAGUAUGUAUGCUUGUGAACUGUGAUAUUGCAAUGUUAAAAAAGGAUGAGAUGCAGUUUAUAUCUGAUUAUUUACAUAUAUUCACAGAAAAACUAAAAGAAAAUAAUAUUUUUCAAUUUUUACCUAUGUUUAUUUAUACAAUAUAUAUUCGUAGUACUAAAUGGCACAAAUCUUCUUCAAUAUAUAUAAAAUAAAAAAUGGUACAGUAGAAACAAUUUUCUAUUCUAAAAUACAAAAAAAUGAAAGUAAACUAACCAAAUCAAAUUGAAAAACUCCAUAAUGACACCUCAACAUCUUGAAAGUCUACAUGAUCAAUAUGUUCAUACUCAUGCCCUAAGCUAUGUGUUGGGGACAUUAGUGCCAUAUUCUUCAAUGACUCUGGAAUGUUCAACUCUCCCUCUUCUUCCUCUUCCAUACUAAAAAUAAGCCGCUCCGGCUCCUCUAUAGCGGCGACAACUUCAAUUGUGUCAGUGUCAUUAACCAUUAAAGUCUUGUUUGGUCUGAAAGCCUCCGCAGCUUCUGAAGCCGCCUUUUGAAUAUCUUUUGUGUUGGUAGUGGUAGGCAUACGAAGCCGCCAAGCUGAGUCUGCAAAGUUGAGACAAGCAUUGCGACCUCUCAAUGCCAAUGCGGCAACAUCAUGGGCUCGUGCUGCCAUUUCGGCUGUUGGAAAAGUCCCUAGCCAAAUCUUAGUCUUUUUGUUAGGCUCUCUCAUUUCACAUACCCAUUUAUCUAAGUUCCUCCUCCUCACACCCCUAUACACCGGGUGGCGAGUCUCUUUGAACUUCUUUCUCCCUGCACGCUUCUUCGGGGUACUCGCAGCUAACCGCACCUCCUCGUUGGAAGUUGACAUACCAUGAGAGACAUCUAAAUUGGGAAGAGAUAUUUUGUGUGACGAAGAGGAAGGUAUUGAAGAAAUGGGGUGUGAAGAGGAAGAGUUGUUAGUUGGAAACAUAUGUAUGUGUUAAAGAGAGUGAAAAAGUUUUAAAAGGGAAACUUGGAAUUGAAGAUAGGGCAUGUUAAAGAGAGUAAAGAGUAUGGUGUUGUAUUUAUUAGGGAGGUGUCAUGGUUGAAGGAAUGGUAACAGUGAGAAUACUGUUUUGUGAGUGUGUGUGUGUGUUUUUUUUGUGAGUGAAUGAGAGAAUGGACUACGGAGCUUCAAACACACCUCUUUUGGAUUACUAUUAUAAAAGCUAUCUAUGUCAUAUCUUUAGUCAAUGUGAGACUUUUAACACACUCCCUCACGUCCAGAACUGAACAAGCUGAAACGUGGACUCAAUAACAAUGGGUGGUCCAAAUAUGAGAGGUCUCCACAACAAACAACAAAUGGAUCUAACAUAGGCUCUGAUACCAUAUUAAAAUUUGAGAGGCUCAUACUGAACCACAAAAAUUAGCUUGAGAGCUGAAGUUUACACUACUAUUAUAAAGAUUAUCUAUGUCAUAUUUCUAGCCAAUAUGAGACUUCUAACAUUACUUAUAUCGAAUGCAAGAGUUUCUUUUUCUCGAAAGGCACAGUAUUUACCUUAGAGAAUAAUGCUAGCAACACACUCUUUAACAAACACACUCCAACACACUUUUUUUUAUUGGUUGAAAUUCACAUGGGUCCCAUAAAAAAAGUGGACCCAUAUAACUUUUAUGUGACCAUAUAAAUUUUAACCAAUAGAAGAGAAUGUGUUAGAGUAUGUUUGUUAAAGAGUGUGUUGCUAGCACUCCUCUUGUUGACUACCGUUGAGAAAAGAGACGUGUGCGUGUUUGUAGUGGAACCCCACACCAGGCUCAAAGAGUAGUAAUAAUGUUAUCAAAAUAUCUUCAAAGACAGUAGAUGAUGUUUUUUAUUCGUCGACAAAGAAGACUAAAUAAGGUAAAUAAAGCAUUCAUGAGAAUGUGCUGUUUUUAGCAUAUUUAUCUUCCUGUAUAGUGUAUACUAUUUCAUCCGUUAUAAGUGGAAAAUUCUUUCAUAGACGCAAAUAUAAAUAUGAGGUGUUAGACACAUUCACAUAAAAAAGCAAAAAUUAAAAAAAAAAUUAAAAAAUAAUGUUGAUUGAUGUGAUUAUAUUACUUUUGAUUUAAAUUUUUGAAUUAGUGUGUGUGCGCCCAAAUAAAAUAUGAUUUGGGUUUGUGUCUAUCCAAAUCUUUCUCGUUAUAAGUUAGGAAGCAUGUACAUCUUAAGUAUGUCACGAUGUCCAACACGUAUCGGUGUCUGACACUCGUAUGACACUUCUAUGAUACGUGUUGGAUAACUCAGAUCGAUGUUCAAAAAAAAAAACUCAAUUUUGACACUUCUUUCAUCGAUGUCUGAACCUGUAAGACACUCGUAUGACGUGUCAGACAGGUGUCCCAAAUUUUUUUAUUUUUCUUUGCUUAUACUCUUCUUAGACACAUAUCACACAUAUCUACAAGAGUUAACGAUGUGUCGAAACAACAAUAUUGAUCAAUGAGAGAUUGAAGAGAUUACAUUUUGAUUACUAUAUUUUUAGAUUUUUCAAUAAUAGAUGGAUAAAUAAAGGUAAAAUACUAUCAUAUCUUGUUUUAAACUUUUUUUAAGAAAUAAUUUGCUCAACUUAGAUUUAUAUGUAUAGAUAUUUUGAUUCUUAAUUUAUAUCUUUUAUAAAUAUGUAGUGAUGUCGGUGUCCUAUAAUUUUUACUUUAGCGGUGCCGCCAUGUCCUUGUCGUGUCGCGGUGUCCGUGCUUCAUAGGUUAUAAGCAAUAUUUCAAAGAUAAAUUUAUCCCUAAAUAUCUCUUUUCAAUUUUGUAGACACAUUUAUUAUUAUUUUUCCAAAAAUAACACUACUUUGCAUUGGAAUACGAAAAGUCAAAUAAAAAUAUAUCGUUUCACAAAGGACAAUUUAAUAAUUAUAAUACUCAAAAAAUACACAUUUAUUACACUACCAACUUUUCUUAAUAUGCGUAAAAAAAAUUAAUGGAGGCCUAUAUUAAGGGACAGAGGGAGUAGUAUUCUAUACUUUAUAAAAUGCGUUAUUUUAUAUCCCAUUAACUUUAAGCAUAUGGUUAGAGAUUCAAUGUUUGGCUCAUGCGUAUGGACAAAAACUUGAUCUGGCCAGGAGAAUCAACCUUGUGUUCCCACAAGUUACCCGACGGAGAUUAGUCAUCGCUAACUGCAGUGAAAACUUCGUACCAAUAUCAUCGUUAACUGCAGUGAUAACAAUUAACUUUAAACUAAUAUUUUAUGUUAAAAAAUUUAAGUCAUUAUUAAAGAAAUUAAUUUUCUUUCUUUGAAUAUUUUAUUAUUUUAGAAUCUAAAUUUAAUAUAUAAUAGAUUUUAAUUGACUUUGGUAAUUUAUCCGAGAAUUGUAUUGCAUUUUGUAUAGUUUCAUAAUUAUAAAAACAUUUAACAUUAUAUGUGAAUGAUGUGCGUAAAAAAUAGUAGUAAAAAUAUUUGCAUUUGAAUUUUGAUUAUAUUAAAAUGGUCAUUGAAUUGUUUGUUAUCACAAAAAUAUUUAUUUUAGCUCAAUUGUCAGUGAAAAUGGAUUAAAUAUGUACCUCAGGGUAUGUGGUUCGAUUCCAACAGAAGACAAAAAUUCUACUAGAGAGGGGUAUAAAAGAUCGUGAGGUACAACGCCGAGUUUGUCUUCUAAAUAUGUAGAAAAUGGGCCGAAGUUGUUACUUGGGAGUCAAUAUAUUAACCCUUUAAUUUUCAGAAGAAGAGAUCCCGAUAAUCUAAACUUCGAUCACGAGGUAAAUAAAACCUGACAAAAAUUGUUCCCACAAAAAAUUGAGUGAUAAAAAAGAGUAAUAAUGUUAUCAAAAUAGAUGAUGUUUUUUAUUCGUCGACAAAGAAGACUUAAUAAGGUAUAUAAAGCAUUCGUAGGAAUGUGCUGUUUUUAGCAUUUAUCAUUUUUUUUUACUAAGCAUUUAUCUUCUUUUAUAACUCAUUUUAUAAUUGUAUUAUAUAUUUUUUUUUAUUAAAAUUCUGAUUUUUAAGGAAUGUGUUUGAUAAUUUAGAGAUCGACCACGAAAUAAAUAAAAUUUUUGAUUAAUUAUUUUCACUAACAAUUUAAUUUGGGUUCUUCCGAACAAUCUAUUCUAUGAAGAGCUCAAUAAUGAUUAACCACUUAAAUUCAAUGUCUU
rnacentral:lncRNA from 1 species